rnacentral:lncRNA from 1 species
AAGACUGUAUCCGCAAGUCCCUCCGACAACAAUAUCAAGAAGAUGACCCUUGACGAUCGCGGCAAAUAGCGCCCGAUCAUGAGCAGUACUCCCUACGUACGUACAAACAAAUUAAAUACGUAGCCGCGUCUCUCUUAUAAAAUAUAUAUAUAAUGUUAUUCAUUUCGAUAGAUUUGUUUGAGAGAAAAGAAAAGAAAGAGAGACCUACGUACCAUUAAUAGGACGCAAAUUCAAGGAAGAGAAAUCGCGGGACUGGCGGCCAUACCCAACUCGGCGAAAAUACUGCAAAAGUUUUAUUUGUUUUUGAGUGAUUUUUAAUGAACAACAAAAAAAUAACGAAGAAAUCCCUCCCCAGGAUAAAAGCACUCAGUUUUCCAUUACCUGGGCGAUGACGGGUCUCAUGAUCGGAACGGGAAUUAGGGUUUCUUGCUAAUCAAUCCUUCUCUCGACCUCCUUUUUCUAAAACUCGUACUCGG